CCUACGGGCGGCAGCAGUGGGGAAUAUUGCACAAUGGGCGCAAGCCUGAUGCAGCCAUGCCGCGUGUGUGAAGAAGGCCUUAGGGUUGUAAAGCACUUUCAGCGAGGAGGAAGGGUUCAGUGUUAAUAGCACUGUGCAUUGACGCUACUCGCAGAAGAAGCACCGGCUAACUCCGUGCCAGCAGCCGCGGUAAUACGGAGGGUGCAAGCGUUAAUCGGAAUUACUGGGCGUAAAGCGGACGAAGGCGGUUUGUGAAGUCGGUAGUGAAAUCCCCGAUCUUAACUUGGGAACUGCAUUUGAAACAUGCAAGCUGGAGUCUCGUAGAGGGGGGUAGAAUUCCAGGUGUAGCGGUGAAAUGCGGAGAGAUCUGGAGGAAUACCGGUGGCGAAGGCGGCCCCCUGGACGAAGACUGACGCUCAGUUGCGAAAGCGUGGGGAGCAAACAGGAUUAGAUACCCGAGUAGUC
rnacentral:rRNA from 1 species